rnacentral:lncRNA from 10 species
AGAGAGAGAGGCAGGCUGGGUCCGCCUGGCAGCCUACGGGAGGAGGCGGGAGCCGGGAAGGAGGGGAGCCUAGGCCCGGCGUGGGGAGGCCGGCAGGAAGGGCCUCGAGCCCAGUGCGGACCUUUCUUCAGCCUCUGUGCGACCGAGCCGCGCGCCAGGCUCCUGUGCGAGGAGGACGCGCUGACUCCCUCCGACCUGGGCUCCGAUGGAGCAGAAAUAGCGGGACCUGGACUUGUGGCGCGCCUGGUGCCACAUCUCGGGCUCUGCGAGCGUCCUGGCGCGGGAUCCUGCCUGUUCCCUUCUUUUCGCCAGGUUUGCAUCCAAGAGAGGGGAGGACAGGGGCAAAAGGAUGCAGGGAGGCUGCUGAUUUCCACUGAAGAGCUAAUUUCCUGUGAGACAUUAACAGUGAUUUAAGAAAAAGAUUCCUGUAACUGGUAAGGAAACUGAGGUAUACAAGGAUGAACUUUUGCAAGGCUACAAAUCUUGUUAAUAGUGAAGCUAACGUUCAGACCCAAGUGGUUCGGCUCUAGACUUUGUCUCAGUUACUGAAUUGAACUCUCUGUGCACUUACGAUGUGUCAUACCAGUUCUCACUACAUAGUGUCCCAAAAGAUUGGGCCUGCUCUUUCUUUCAGAGACAAUUAGGAAAAAAGUAAACAAACGGAGCAGGAUUUGGGCAUAACAGCAUGCUCCUCCCAUCCCCCAAAUCCCAGGAGUGUCACUGAGUAAUGUCUUACAAUAACAGAAUGCAGGAGAGCACAUAUCAAUGAAGAAAAGACAAAAUGUACUUAUCCAUGAAGCUGAGGUUAAGAAACCAGUGUCUUCAAGAGCCAGGGACAGCACUGGGUCUGUGCAGAGUUGAGAGAUGGUGAUGACAUGUGGUUUCCAGCAUUCUUGGCCCAGUCUGGGAUUCUACUCUUUUGUAGUGGUUUCCAGCAUUCCUCACCCAGUCCAGGGACACUGUGGGUGUGCCCAGCUUAAGUCCAGUAACUGGAAAUACAAGCCCAAGUUCUGGAGAGUUUGAGCUGCAGAGAUAUAUAUGGGAACACUUUGAAUCUUGACUCAUUGGCCAUAACCAGCAGAGUGGAAAAUACAAGAAGAGAAAAAAACAUUGAACUGCGAUUUUAUAACAUCCUUUACUAGGCAGAGAGAAGAGGAAACACCAGGAAAGAAAACUGUAUUACGAUGUGAAAACUUAAUGUUGAGAAAUUCAGGCAUCUUGGGGUUAGUGAGGAGAAGUUUUAGGGGCUUAGAUUCUUCUAAACACAUGUACAGAAAUGCAUAUUUCAUCUGAUAUCAAAUGGCAUUUAUAGUGCUAAUCUUUACCUCAAGACUUCACAUCUUUUGGUGAUUGCAUCUUUUAGGUUUAUAGCAGCUAAGUUUGCAUGAAAACACCAGGGCUGUUUCAUUUCAGUCAAGAAUUAAUGUUCAUUGAUUGUGCUUCUGCAUUUCAUGUAACUAUUGUAGAAUUUGUUUUAGUUUUAUGAGGGAAUAAUUGUUCCAACUUCUAUAUAACUCAGGAAUUUACUCUCAAACAACACUGUCAAUUAGUUACUUAUCUCUCUGGAAAUGAUCUGGGAACAUGGAGAGGAAAGGGAGGAAGGGGCAAAAUCUGACCACUUAAAUCUAAGCAUAUUAGAUCAUUUUAUGCUAGAAAGUCCUGAAUGAUGUGACUUUCGUUCUUGUAAAACACCUCUUUCCAUAGAUUCAUGGCCCAAACAGUAUAUAAAGAGUGGGGAAGGAACUGCAUUUGCAAAUAGUUCAAAUCAUUGCUCCAUCUUAACUACGCAGUUCACAAAGUGUGAAGAAAUGUGAUCAUCUCAAAAAAGAUAAUGGGGAAAAAAUAUGUUUUGUUCUGUGACUUUAAAGUCUUGCAAUAUUUUACAUAAAUGAUAAUGGGUGCUUUAAUAAGAACUCUUGAUACUUUUGUUAUUGUAUUCAAUAUAUGCAUAUAAUACAACAGGAUGAUAUUGUUUUGGAUUUGGAAAUGUAUUCUUUCUUAUGCAAUCUUAUGCAGUCAUACUGCUUGAAUAUCAUUACCUGAAUUUAUCUUUCUUUUUUUUGUUGUUGUUUUACACUCUACUUAUUUGGUGCCUGUCAGUCUUUUGUCGUCAGUUUAUAUUCUACUAAACUCAAAAAGACAAUCUCAUACCUUUUGUAAUUGUAGGCAUUCUUUACUAGAUUUUUAAAUACACUUCAAAAAUUCAAGUACUUUGAUUUCAUGCCAUCAAGUAGCUGAAUCUAUCCCCCCGUCUCUUUUUAAAUUUAAUGACAGAGCUCCUUGCUGCUCAAAUUUUAUGCCAGAUAAAAUAUUCACCUUCUCGGACUCCCUGGCACCAGGCAUGGCCAUGUAAUCCUACAGCACAGCUGAUGAAAGAGAAGACAUCUUGCUGCUAUUUGACAAGCAAGAAGAUAAAAGCUUUCCUAUAAAGAUGAUGGAGCAAAAAAAUAGAAGGGGCCUAGACUCCCUACCUUCACACUUCCUGCUAUAAAAGCAUUGCUAUUAUAAGGUUAAUCUGCAGAAACAGACUUCUAUGUCAUAUGCUUAAAUGCAUCAAAAUUCAUACAAUAUCCAUUAAAUUGGUAAAAGUAUCCAUUUUAAAGGAUUAAUCUGAGGGACCCACAGACACUUAACACAAUCAAAUCUCAGAAAAAAAAUCAGUUAUUUCAUUGUGAUUUUGAGGCUGAUCUUUUAUGAUCUUUUAGUUAUCAAACUGUUAAAUACAUUUUAACUUUCAAAUUUUAUGAAUAAAGGAGAUGAAUCCUGUUAUUUUCUCAGUGUGAGUGUGAUGAUGUGUGUCAUAUGUGCCUAUGUAUGCACACACAUGUACUCAAGGAGCCUGAAAGGGACCAUGACUUUCUGGGCACUCAAUGCUACUUAUCUCUAACUCCUCCUUCAAAUGUCCCCAUUCUAAGUCUACUUCCUUAGGGAAUAGGUACAAAUAUAUCCCAUUAAACAUGAUUUAAGGAUGUAUUUAUUUUAAACUUGUCAUCACUGGUGGUUGGAGUGUGUGUGUGUGUGUGUGUGUGUGUGUGAAUUCUGACUCAUUUAUUUUAUCUGAUGGUAAGAUACCCUAUUGAAGAGAUAUUUAUUUAUAGAGCCAAACAAUGAGCUUCUUUCUCACUCUUGGACUUCUGCUCUAGCUGUCAGCCACUCUGAAUAUAGAGAACAAUUAAUAGCCAGUGAUCUUUAAUUUGGGAGGGAGAGUAAUAUAACCAUUUCACAUAUUAGUAAUUUAAGCCCUAAAGUGACAUUUUUGUACAAAGUCAGUGCAGAUGCUGUCUGCCUUGAUAAUAAAAAUGGUCACUUUAAAUAUCACGUAAGCCACCCCAUCACAUCAUCUCAUUGAAAUGAAGGAAGAUGAAAAGUUACUGAGUCAAAACAAUACUUGAAGGAAAACAACUUCUCAAAGUCUGGAAGCUGUUUCCAUGGGAACUGGCUGGACUGAUAAAUAAUUGGAGGCCUUUGCAUAUAUUGUCCCUUAAAUGUGAGCAGCACUUGGGAGGAAGAAGGCUGAACAAGGCUGCAUUUUU